GUACCUUUUGCAUCAUGAUUUAGCUAGAAAACCUCAAGCAAAGAGCACUUUAGUUUGACCCCCCGAAACUACGUGAGCUACUCCAAGACAGCCUAACAACUAGGGCAAACCCGUCUCUGUGGCAAAAGAGUGGGAAGAUCUUUGAGUAGAGGUGACAGACCUAUCGAACCUAGUUAUAGCUGGUUGCCUGAGAAAUGAAUAGAAGUUCAGCCUCUCGGAUUCUCCCCUCACCCCACCUCCCUCCCCCCGACAAUUUAAAGAAACCGAAAGAGUUAGUCAAAGGGGGUACAGCCCCUUUGACACAAGAUACAACUUUUCCAGGAGGGUAAAGAUCACAAUUCAACACCAAGGUAAAAUGUUUAGGUGGGCCUAAAAGCAGCCACCCCAUAGAAUGCGUAAAAGCUCAAACAUAACCACCACCCCCAAUCCUGAUAAUCUUAUCUAAACCCCCUAACCCUACCAGGCCGUUCCAUGCAAACAUGGAAGCGACCAUGCUAAUAUGAGUAAUAAGAGAAUAGUCAUCUCUCUCCUUGCACAAGUG
rnacentral:rRNA from 1 species